AAGCAGGGGAUCGUAAGGCCUUGCGCUUUUGGAGCGGCCGAUGUCUGAUUAGCUAGUUGGUGGGGUAAGGGCCUACCAAGGCGACGAUCAGUAGUUGGUCUGAGAGGACGACCAGCCACACUGGGACUGAGACACGGCCCAGACUCCUACGGGAGGCAGCAGUGGGGAAUUUUGGACAAUGGGCGCAAGCCUGAUCCAGCAAUGCCGCGUGAGUGAAGAAGGCCUUCGGGUUGUAAAGCUCUUUCAGUCGAGAAGAAAAGGCUACGGUAAAUAGUCGUAGUUCAUGACGGUACCGACAGAAGAAGCACCGGCUAACUACGUGCCAGCAGCCGCGGUAAUACGUAGGGUGCGAGCGUUAAUCGGAAUUACUGGGCGUAAAGGGUGCGCAGGCGGCUUUGUAAGUCAGAUGUGAAAUCCCCGGGCUUAACCUGGGAAUUGCGUUUGAAACUACAAAGCUAGA
rnacentral:rRNA from 1 species